UACCCUCCGGGUGGACAGGGAGGACAGGUGGUGGCAUGGUUGUCGUCAGCUCGUGUCGUGAGAUGUUGGGUUAAGUCCCGCAACGAGCGCAACCCCUACGUUUAGUUGCUAACGCGUGAAGGCGAGCACUCUAGACGAACUGCCGUUGACAAAACGGAGGAAGGUGGGGAUGACGUCAAAUCAUCAUGCCCCUUAUGUUCUGGGCUACACACGUGCUACAAUGGCCGGUACAGACGGACGCAAAGCCGCGAGGUGGAGCAAAUCCUAAAAAGCCGGUCUCAGUUCGGAUUGCAGGCUGCAAUUCGCCUGCAUGAAGUCGGAAUCGCUAGUAAUCGCAGGUCAGCAUACUGCGGUGAAUACCGUUCCCGGGCCUU
rnacentral:rRNA from 1 species